AGAGUUUGAUUCUGGCUCAGAUUGAACGCUGGCGGAAUGCUUUACACAUGCAAGUCGAACGAUGAACCUUAGCUUGCUAAGGGGAUUAGUGGCGAACGGGUGAGUAAUAUAUCGGAACGUGCCUUGUAAUGGGGGAUAACUAGUCGAAAGAUUAGCUAAUACCGCAUACGCCCUGAGGGGGAAAGUAGGGGAUCUUCGGACCUUACGUUAUAAGAGCGGCCGAUAUCUGAUUAGCUAGUUGGUGGGGUAAUGGCCUACCAAGGCGACGAUCAGUAGCUGGUCUGAGAGGACGACCAGCCACACUGGAACUGAGACACGGUCCAGACUCCUACGGGAGGCAGCAGUGGGGAAUUUUGGACAAUGGGCGCAAGCCUGAUCCAGCCAUUCCGCGUGAGUGAAGAAGGCCUUCGGGUUGUAAAGCUCUUUCGCAAGGGAAGAAAACUUACUUUCUAAUAAAGAGUGAGGCUGACGGUACCUUGAUAAGAAGCACCGGCUAACUACGUGCCAGCAGCCGCGGUAAUACGUAGGGUGCGAGCGUUAAUCGGAAUUACUGGGCGUAAAGCGUGCGCAGGCGGUUUGGCAAGUCAGAUGUGAAAUCCCCGAGCUCAACUUGGGAACUGCGUUUGAAACUGCCAGACUAGAAUAUGUCAGAGGGGGGUAGAAUUCCACGUGUAGCAGUGAAAUGCGUAGAGAUGUGGAGGAAUACCAAUGGCGAAGGCAGCCCCCUGGGAUAAUAUUGACGCUCAUGCACGAAAGCGUGGGGAGCAAACAGGAUUAGAUACCCUGGUAGUCCACGCCCUAAACGAUGUCUACUAGUUGUUGGUGGAGUAAAAUCCACGAGUAACGCAGCUAACGCGUGAAGUAGACCGCCUGGGGAG
rnacentral:rRNA from 1 species